UGCCAGCAGCCGCGGUAAUACGGAGGGUGCAAGCGUUGUUCGGAAUUAUUGGGCGUAAAGGGUGCGUAGACGGCUUGUUAAGUCAAUUGUUCAAUAUCUCAGCCUAACUGAGAAUCAGCAGUUGAAACUGGCUCGCUUGAGGAUGGAAGAGAGAAGUGGAAUUCUCGGAGUAGCGGUAAAAUGCGUAGAUCUCGAGAGGAACACCGAUGGCGAAGACAGCUUCUUGGUCCAUUCCUGACGUUGAGGCACGAAAGCGUGGGGAGCAAACAGGAUUAGAUA
rnacentral:rRNA from 1 species